rnacentral:rRNA from 1 species
UACGAAGGGUGCAAGCGUUACUCGGAAUUACUGGGCGUAAAGGGUGCGUAGGUGGUUUGUUAAGUCUGCUGUGAAAUCCCCGGGCUUAACCUGGGAAUGGCAUUUGGGACUGCAAGGCUUGAGUGCGGCAGAGGAGACUGGAAUUCCUGGUGUAGCAGUGAAAUGCGUAGAUAUCAGGAGGAACACCGAUGGCGAAGGCAGGUCUCUGGGCUGACACUGACGCUCAUGCACGAAAGCGUGGGGAGCAAACAGG